rnacentral:rRNA from 1 species
AGCGAACGCUGGCGGCAGGCUUAACACAUGCAAGUCGAGCGCCCCGCCAGGGGAGCGGCAGACGGGUGAGUAACACGUGGGAACGUACCCUUUGGUUCGGAACAACCCAGGGAAACUUGGGCUAAUACCGGAUAAGUCCGCGAGGAGAAAGAUUUAUCGCCGAAGGAUCGGCCCGCGUCUGAUUAGCUAGUUGGUGUGGUAACGGCGCACCAAGGCGACGAUCAGUAGCUGGUCUGAGAGGAUGAUCAGCCACACUGGGACUGAGACACGGCCCAGACUCCUACGGGAGGCAGCAGUGGGGAAUAUUGGACAAUGGGGGCAACCCUGAUUCAGCCAUGCCGCGUGAGUGAUGAAGGCCCUAGGGUUGUAAAGCUCUUUCGGUGGGGAAGAUAAUGACGGUACCCACAGAAGAAGCCCCGGCUAACUUCGUG